CUAUUAUCUAUGAUGAUUGCGUUCGUGCCGGUUAUUGCAAAAGUGUUUCCUUUAAUAUAGUUAUGAAAAUGAUCUGCUAAAGCAAGGAAAAAGAAAUAAAGAUAUUGGGUCGGGGAACGUCUCCAGUCGUAGGCGAUCAUUCCUUUCGUGGCUUCCUUUUUGUUUUUUUUUUUUACUAUCAAUCAACGAUGGAUUAAAUGUUUAUUAGAAGGAAUUUAUAGAUAUACACAAAUAUGGAAAUUGUCUUUACAGUGGUACCCACUUGUAAUAUAAUAGUCAGAAUUAUUCUGGUUAGAUUAAAGGAGGGUAAUUAUUUAUUUUUGGCAUUGUAUGUAUGCUAUAUUGUGGAGACUUAUUCAAUUGCCGUAGAACAUUGCUUAAUGUGGUAAACUUUUUCACAGAAGCAUUACACGAAAACACAGAUGGUAUGAGUUGAUGUUCGGGCUGAUGGGCCAUCGUCUGUUGGGUUGUUUUCCCGACGUUUCAUCCACAACUGUGUUGGACAUUAUCAAGGGCGAUGUCGAAGUCUUCUCUGAUAUGAAACAGUGACAAGCACGGUCGUAUUUAUUUCGUUCUGGAGGGUGGACGACGUGGUUGAUGUAGUAGAACCAUGAUGGUGUGUUUUGUAUCCGGGAAAUAUGGAACCGUUGCCCAUUGCAAUGGAAAGAUUAAGAUUAAUAUGAAUCGUUAUAGGCAUUAAUAUUGGGUUGAUGGACAAGCGAGAGAGGAUUGAAGUAAAUUUGGAACCUCAUGGAAUAACAAAUUGUCUACUACAGAAUGUCUGGAUUUCUCUUGCUGCUGAUUUCUUCACGUUGGACCAUUUUCGGCCUACAAGGAGAGCACAUCGAAGUUUAUUCGGAUCUCACUGGAUCAACAAUUUCACUCACUUCAGAUUUCUUCACUUUGGAUGAAUAAACACUUAAUCUUUGACUGUGGCAAAAGUACAUUGAACUUUAUUUAAUUAAGGUGAGAAUACAUAACAAUUAAUAUUAAUUGCUCGUUAUUAAUCUGUUACCAACGUAU